GGAAUAGACGCGCAGGGCGAGUGGCGAGUGGCAGACGCGCCCUGCGCGCUCGCUUCCCGGGCCGCGUGAGCCAAGCCAGGGGAAGAAGUUGGUGAUUCGCCGGACCCUGGUCCUGAAGACGAGGUCCGGCGACCCCUGGCCCUUCCUGCCUCACCCCCGCCUGCCUUUUCCCUCUAUCUUCUGCCAGGAUGACGCACGCAGGCCUGGGCGCAGGUGUACCUCCUGGCAGCUAUAGGAACUAUGGCUCUGCUAAUAGUGGAUAUAGUGCCUGUGAAGAAGAAAAUGACAGACACACCGAAAGCCUGAGGCGCAAAGUAAAGGCUGUGAAAGAUCUUUCCAUUGAGAUAGGCCAUGAAGUUAAAACUCAAAAUAAAUUACUAGCUGAAAUGGAGUCACAAUUUGAUUCCACAACUGGAUUUCUAGGUAGAACUAUGGGAAAACUGAAGAUUUUAUCCAGAGGGAGCCAAACAAAGCUGAUGUGCUAUAUGAUGCUGUUUUCAUUGUUUGUCUUUUUUGUCAUAUAUUGGAUUAUUAAACUGAGGUGAUG